GAAAGAAACUGCUUGUCAAGCACUUAGGCUACCACUGAGCAAAUUAGAGUAAGGGGCCAGGCAGAGAGGCGAUUGCUUGAAUAUCCCACAGCCCUCCUGCCUGGCCCUGUGGGGUGGAGAUCCACCGCUAUGACCCAGCUCACUCGGCAUGCUCCCCUCUAAACCUCUAAUUCCCAGUGUGGAGGAAGCCCGCUGGGAGGAAUUAGGCCGUGUUGCAGAGACUGUCAGCAAUAAAGACAGCACAGAGGCAGAAGAUGCACCUCGCAGGCUGCGCUCAAUCAGCUCUGGCCCUGAACUGCACUGGAAGGGACUUGUGAUGCUUGAGAAGAGGGAGGCAGGCCCACAAGAGGAGAGGGCCACUGUGGCUGAUGUCCAAGAUGACUUUAAAAGAUCAUUCAGGACAUUUUGGAGACGAUGCUUUUGUGCAAAUGCCAGGAAGGGAUUUUUUUUUUUAAUUGAAGAUUAAUGCACCAAUGGAACGGAGCGGAUCUAUGAGUCAACGCGUAUGAAAGUGACACAGAAACAGAACGAUUCACCCGCCCCUCGCAGUCUCUCUGAUCAGCCAGUACCCAAGCAUCAUUUCCCUGGACCUGGCACAAACUUGUCACAUCUGCUCCCUUGAUUCCUUGUCUGUUUUGAAAAACUGGAUGAUUGAUUGGUGCCCUUUAUAGCUUCUUUUGGUUCCCUUUAAGUACCUUUUUUUCUGGCUGCCUGAUUUCUAUUAUCUAUUAUUAUUCUAUUAUUAUUAUUUCUAUUAUUCUAUUAUUAUUAUUAUUAUU